rnacentral:lncRNA from 1 species
UCCAUUUCUUUAUUACCCAUACUCCUUAUUUUAUUCUUCCACUAACAAAACAUGUUUCAUGACAUGUUUUACCCAUCCUUCCUUGUCAUGGCCGGCCACUACUCAUUAGGGGGGGGAAUUUGACAUGCAAGUCCCCCCCUUUGUCCACAUGCACUAAUAGGUCCUCACACAUUGACCUAUCACAUUUUAGAAUUUUCUC